UCUAGGUAUAUGCUGAUAUAUAUGUGUGCGUAGUUUAGUACAAUAAAAGUUCUUAAAACAAUGCAUCACGUAGUCAGUUUUCUACCAAAUGUUCGUGCGUGUUUACAAUCAGGUGCGCUCACCACCAGUCACCUCGUCUACGGGGCUCUCACUCUGUUUUGGUACUGAUGUCACGAGUUAGCUUCAACCAAUCGACAUACAUUUUACAAAACACUCCAGGUCUAACCAAUCAGCACCCCUCUCUUUUACCACGUGAGCGCCUUUAAAUCUUACAGUGACCAAUCAGAGAAAGGGGUGUGGCCAAACGGUUCUUUUAAAGGCAGCCACGCGUCCCUACUGCGCAUUUACGUCUUACCUAAGUCCCAUCUAGCACUUGUACACACCGGGAAACCUCUGCGUAGAACGCAUAUUUUGCAUUAUGUCUGACGCAUACUUCGAUGAGUACGACCACUAUAACUUCGAUGACAAGUUGGUACACUCAAGAGGCAGUGGAAAGAACCGCUCUAAGCAGGAGGCUGAACAGAAUAAACACCACAAUGACACCGACGGUCACACCCGUAAGAUCGUCAAUAACAUGAAAAACAACGAAGCCAAUAACAGAACGGCUCAAGCUACUAACAUCAAGCAUUAGGAUAUUUUUCAUUGUGUGAUUGUUGACGCCGAACCAAAGCUUAAAGUUACUGAUAACGGAUUUGGAACGCCUUUAGGAUGUAUGGGCCACCACUACGCCGAGGAAGACUUAAAGCACACGAAGACUUGAGUUUACACUAUUAAUUAUCUCGACUCUAAAAUAAAUAUGCAUUUUUGGUCCUCGUCAUCAAGGUAGUGUGGUCAGCAGCUUGGGUAGGGCCGGCAGUAUUCCCCUAGUCUUUGAGCGGCACCCUAACACCGCUCAUCCCGCCCAACUGUCAGAAUAGUGCUAGAUGACUGUCCAGAUGACUGUCCGGACAAAUGUGAGGUGUUACCCAGUGUGAUCGUCACUACCAAACAUCACAGGUUUUUCCAGGCUCCGGUUUCUUCCUGUACGAACACUGGAUAGACAAACUGCCCGAACGGCUUGUAAACAAUGAAAUUAUUCUUGUAGUGUUACAAUGUUCAUUUUACAUUCCUGCAGUCUUCCUUCUAUUUUACGGAGGUACAGUAUUUAAAAGCACUCUGCAUUAGCAAUCCUGUUUAUUUAUAAACCUCUGAAUAUCGGGACCACAGUCUGAUUAAUCACUGUUGAGUGGUCAAUAAUUACGGGGAACACAUUCUGCUCAGGGUUGCAAAUUUAAAAAUAACCACAUUGACGCUGAGCCCAGACACACGUGAGGAGAAAAAGUGCGCUGCCUGCGGCGGCCCACACUCCACUACCGACCGGACUGGACCUGCCCCAACUGGAAGGAGGCAUGCAAGGUAGCCAAAGUUCGCCAAAACAAGAAACUUGGCUACAAGGAGGCCGUCCUUGUAGUUCGCACUAAAGUUAAGAAAAAAGAAACAAAAACACAAGAGAAGAAAAAUCACAAGUUACCAAGAGACAAGAAUACCAGGAGACUCCAGGUCAGAACACCUCAUCAGGAUCACCUCCUCCGACUUCCUCAACAUUUACGAGCAACCAGGGCACGAAGAACAGGACCUAGACACUAGCGAAUGGACGGUCCAAGAGAGCAAAGAGAGGAGGAAAAUAAGAUGAACUUCAAUCUAACAAGACCAGGCUAUUUCCAUCGAACAACCCGUAUAUAAAAAAAGCAAACACCACACCCAAUCAAGCCGACCAAGGAGAGAAACCAUUGCCCAACCCAACACUCACCUGACGUAUGGUCCUGCCCCCACGUCCAGGCUGGGUGCUGCUACCCCCUCAAACCUACAACCCCACACCAAGCAAGCUGUGUUGAGCCACGCCAUCUGUCCUCUCCACUAAAAUUCCCUUCCAUCCUCUCUCUUUGAAGCCUUUAUUCAUUCAGGGUGUCAACUAAAACAGUACAGGAGGAAACCCGAGCCGGGGAAAGUAGUACUAACACUGGAUAGUCCAACAGCCCAAACGGCUAAUAAGCAAAACAACUAUUCUUUUAGUUUUGCAAUGUUCAUUUUACAUUGCGUAAAUUCGUGUAGUCCUGCAGGUCUUCCUUCUACUUUACGAAGGUACAAUAUUCAAAAGCACUGCAUUGUUAAUUUUUUUGUAAACCUUUUAAACCUCUGAGUAUCGGGACCAGUCUGGUUAUUCACUGUGGAGUUGCCAGUUAGUUUUACCGAGGAGCACCCAAAGCAAGCUUUUGCUCUUUUUAUUUUAGGUUGUGCCCGUUGUGAUAAUAAAAAUAAUGAUUUUGUA